CACCUCGAGCAUUACUAGUAUUCGAGGCACUGCCUGCCCAGUGACCAAGCGUUAAACGGCCGCGGUACUCUGACCGUGCAAAGGUAGCAUAAUCAUUUGUUCCUUAAUUAGGGACUUGUAUGAACGGCCACACGAGGGUUUAACUGUCUCUUUCCUCUAAUCAAUGAAAUUGACCUUCUCGUGAAGAGGCGAGAAUAAACAUAUAAGACGAGAAGACCCUAUGGAGCUUAAAUUAACUAAUUUAAUUGCUACCCUAUAAAUCUAUAAGAUACAACUAAGUAGCAUAAUAAAUUAACAAUUUUGGUUGGGGUGACCUCGGAGAAGAAAAAAACCUCCGAACGAUAUUCUAAUUCAGACUCUACAAGUCAAAAUUUACUAAUCAUUUAUUGACCCAAUACUUGAUCAACGGAACAAGUUACCCUAGGGAUAACAGCGCAAUCCUACUCUAGAGUCCCUAUCGACAGCAGGGUUUACAACCUCGAUGUUGGAUCAGGACAUCCUAAUGGUGCAGCCGCUAUUAAGGGUUCGUUUGUUCAACGAUUAAAGUCCU
rnacentral:rRNA from 1 species